rnacentral:rRNA from 1 species
UACAGAGGUCCCAAGCGUUGUUCGGAUUUAUUGGGCGUAAAGGGUGCGUAGGCGGCGGAGUAAGUCGGGUGUGAAAGCCCCGGGCUCAACCUGGGAACUGCAUUCGAUACUGGACGGCUAGAGUAUGAGAGAGGGAGGUAGAAUUCCACGCGUAGCGGUGAAAUGCGUAGAUAUGUGGAGGAAUACCGGUGGCGAAGGCGGCCUCCUGGUUCAAUACUGACGCUGAGGUGCGAAAGCGUGGGGAGCAAACAGG